AGAGUUUGAUCAUGGCUCAGAAUCAACGCUGGCGGCGUGCCUAACACAUGCAAGUCGCACGAGAAAGGGUAGCAAUACCUGAGUACAGUGGCGCACGGGUGAGUAACACGUGAAUCAUCUACCUUCGAGUGGGGAAUAACUGGGAGAAAUCUCAGCUAAUACCGCAUAAAACCUACGGGUCAAAGCAGCAAUGCGCUUGAAGAGGAGUUCGCGGCAGAUUAGUUAGUUGGCGGGGUAAUGGCCCACCAAGACGAUGAUCUGUAUCCGGCCUGAGAGGGCGCACGGACACACUGGAACUGAAACACGGUCCAGACUCCUACGGGAGGCAGCAGUGGGGAAUUUUGCGCAAUGGGGGAAACCCUGACGCAGCAACGCCGCGUGGAGGAUGAAAUCCCUUGGGAUGUAAACUCCUUUCGAUCGGGACGAUUAUGACGGUACCGGAAGAAGAAGCCCCGGCUAACUUCGUGUCAGCAGCCGCGGUAAUACGAGGGGGGCAAGCGUUGUUCGGAAUUAUUGGGCGUAAAGGGCGCGUAGGCGGUUUGACAAGUCUGAUGUGAAAUCUAUGGGCUCAACCCAUAGCCUGCAUUAGAAACUGUCGGGCUUGAGUAUGGGAGAGGUGAGUGGAAUUUCCGGUGUAGCGGUGAAAUGCGUAGAUAUCGGAAGGAACACCUGUGGCGAAAGCGGCUCACUGGACCAUAACUGACGCUGAGGCGCGAAAGCUAGGGGAGCAAACAGGAUUAGAUACCCUAGUAGUCC
rnacentral:rRNA from 1 species